rnacentral:rRNA from 1 species
CUUUGGGGAAGGAUCAUUG